rnacentral:tRNA from 1 species
GGAGGUGUAGUUUAGUAGUUGAUCAUAUACCUAGCAUGUAUAAAGCCCUGGGUUCAAUCCCCAGCAUUGCAA